UUUUGACCUUUAUCAUGAUUAUUUUACACAACAUAGAUAAUUUUCUCAAUGUUCCUAAUCUUGGGACUAUUAUAAAAUAGAUUCAUUUUAAACAUGUUACGUUUAAUAUAAGAAUAUUCAUGAAUGAGUUGUUUCCUACGUUUAAUAUAAGCAUAUUCAUGAAUGAGUUGUUUCAUACGUUUAAUAUAAGAAUAUUCAUGAAUGAAUUGUUUCCUCUCUUUUUUAAAUGAAGCUAGGACAAAGAGUAAAAUGUAUUUCCUAUGUGACCUCUAGCUGGUGACAUUCAGUGAACUUGACAUGUGAUGAUGACCUGUAAUGUUCAUAUUAUAAUAGUUUAUCAAACUGUAAAUAAAACUGUAAUAUAAAUUAUUAAUACAUGUAUAUUCAAUGUUAGGAAAUGUCAGUACAUAUGUCCGAGUAGGGAAUUGUCAGUGUGGAGGAAAUGUCCUACACUCCAUUAAUAUAUGGUGUGGUACAUAAACAAUGAGCCAACACUCCCAUGUUGUAAAGGUGCUAAUUUUAGAACUAAUACGUGGCAAUGAGUAUGAUAACCUUAUUAUUCAGAUCUUCAGAGAUGCAGCAACAGAAGCCAGCACUGGCUUGUUUUUUCCUAUCCGUUUUAAAAAACGUUACGGAACAGUGUCAAACCAUACCUACAUUGUUUUCUGUGAUGCAUGAUGCAGGUACACGUGAUCUUGUCUUCUUAACUUCUUAACAUUCACUUACUUCAUUAGUGCAGGCGCACACGCAUAACUAAACACAACGACAUGAGCAUGUUUCAAUUGUAGCCCUCCCUCCUUUAGUGAACAUUUAUAAACAACCGGUAUCGAUACAUAACACGUUCAGGCAUUUCCUCUGGUCUCGAAUUCAAAGUAACUUCAAAUUAAUUAAAUACUGUGUAGAAAUCCUAUUGCAGUGAAGGAAUGUUAAGAACAAGAUGACAAAAAGGACUGCAUAGUGUUAUGUGUUUGAAGUCAUUAUUCUAUAUUCUAAGCAGACACGAUGUCAUCUCUUUGAUGGCUUCUCACUCUUAUCAUCCAAAUUUCUAGAAAAAACAUUCAAUCCCUUUAUGAAAUCAGUAGAGGGGCUUUGACAUGGCAACGCCGUUGCGAAAGGAUGCCAAACGUGUCAUCUUACUGGUGUGUAUUGUAUUCUCAAGCUGAAACAACAUAGUUUUCUCCCUGUCUGUCGUAAACUUUUGUUGCCCUACACUUAAAACAAUAGAAGUGGUCAUUGGCACUGAUUGGUAACGGCUUAUUGUCCAACGGCUUUGAGUCAAAAGACGAUAAAUAACGUUUCAACGAAUAUAGCUUAACGUCCCAAACCAUGGAGGAGACAACUAGCGUACGUGUUGGCACUCGUGUUCAGGCUCUUGACACCGAAUCCGGCAAGUGGAGAUCCGGGUGUGUAGUGGAUGUAUACCUUGUUUGGAGGAAAGUCAACGUCAAUUUCGACAACUUCCCCAAGAAAUGGAGCACUUGGAUUUCCAUAGGCAAUAUGGAAGAUGAAGUUUCGUCAUUCCUUAGUCAGCUGGACAAUGACACAGUCAGUGCAGUGACUAUCUGGGGGAACCGAGAGAGCAGGAACUGUUAACCUGGACCCAGGCGGUUUAGCCCUACAGUCGAACAAAAACUUGCUGUGCUGCUCCUUGAAAUCUACGACCAGAACAACGUUUUGUCUCAAGGAGUUUUGAGCCGAUUGACUGUUGGAGAACAACAAAUGCAGGGCGAAUCACUCAUUAGAAUCAUGGAGAUUAUUGUUUGGGAUUUCCAUCUCUAUUGUUUAGAUAAAGGGUACUCGCACGACCAGUAUAAAAAAGAGGAAACGAGAGGAUAUGCAGCAAGAGCAAGAGCAAACCAAGAAAAGGACAAAUCCUGCGAAUGAGCAUCAAGCCAGUCGACAAAUGCAUCGUCUCCUCCAGCUUCCUCACUUGCAUCGCCUGAAACGACCCUAUGCACAUCACCAUCACCACGCCAUGUAUCUACCUCAACAACAGGAUUGUCUGACCAUUCCAGUGACGCAGAUAUCGUCACAUUGAAGCUUGAAGUCGCCAUCCUCAAAAAGGAAAUCCAGGAAUUGCGACUGUUGGUAGAGUCGAUGGUUUCUGACACCACGCCGCCUUCACCAAUAUCAGUCCUUCCAUUACCUGCCCUGUCUCCGUUAAACAAUGCAUUGCCGUCACCACAACUGUCAUCAUCUCCCCUCUCAACGACAUUCACUGUAUUGCCAUCUGCCACGUCACUAACAUCAACGCACUCCAACAUCACAGAAAGCAGAUUUGGGGAUCUGCGGGUAGCAGAUUUACCAUGCAGAAUAUGCGAUAUGAACAUUAAAACCUCCCUGGACACAAGGAAUUCUCAACAGGACGUAGUAGAAGAAGCAAGGCAGCGAGGUGGACAGACCCGUAAGCAGCUCACAAAAGAACUUUAUAGAACAGUUUUCACCCUGCGAGAAACGUAUAAAAGAAAUGUUUACAGGAUGAUAAAGUCAGGCCAGAACAUCACUGUCCAGCCAUUUUACAUCGCAAAGAUGGCCAUGAUAUUUGAUGUCAUAUUCAGUACCUUCCCACCCAAGGGCAAAGCAAAGGAAAAACAAGAAUGUGUAUACGCUAUCAAUCAAGUAAACCGAUACGUGUGGGGUCGGUGAAUGAAAAGAAUUGAACUUCCACCAAUGAUAUUAAUGAAAUAUAAUGUUACUUAUGCUAUGGAUCUGCUGUUAAUAAUUCACAACUUUAAGUUCAACCCUGUCUAGUCGAAAACAACUUUCAAUAUUGUGCAAUUAGUAACGUCACGUUGGUUUUCAAUGUCCAUUUCCACCCAUGUAGAGAUAAAUAUGCAAUAGCCUUUGAAUAUUCCGGGCGGCCACUGUAAAGGAGGGCGGGAUUUUGCAUAUGCUUUUUUCCAUGCUAAGUAUAUAAAGUUACUCUUAAAUGCAAAAACAUCAAUGCUCUCAAGUAACAUGUCAAUACAAAUGUAUUUAAGUGUGUCAGUUAUUCCCAGUAUUCCCGUGUUCAAAUGAAUCCUUUUAAAUCAGUUUUAUUUGUCACUUCAUGUAAUAGUGUCUUUUGGCGGAAUCGUGUGUAAACAUCAACCAUGAUCGUCCUAAAACAACGCCCGGUAGCGAGCACAGUCCAUAAGAAAAUGAACUUUCAUUAACAGCUGUAAAACGUCAUUGUCGCUUAUUGGUCUACACCUAGUGGCUAAUGUGUACAUGAAAACUGACCUUUUUGUAUAUUAAAGUAAUUUUGAUCCUUUAGUUUUGUAUUGGCACAUGCGUGUCGCUAUACUAUUUUUUAUGUAUAUCUCUUAUUUUGAGCAUGAUAUACGAAAAUAUAAUGUUUGUCCGUCUGUUAAAGUUGUUAUUUUUAUUUCCUUAUCCUAAUAGCAGAAACUACAUUGAUAUAUUUCAUCCCUGAUAACUGGAACUCUUUUCCAUUCACACGGAAUAAAAAUUAAAACGUGUGAUUGCUACACUGCGCAUCAUAUACAUACCCAUAUCCUAAAACAUCAAACAGAAACUAUGGCAACAUAUGUCAGAAUAUAAUACAAGGUACAAUCAUUAAGAUUAUAUUUUCCGAUCAAAAUGAUCACAAACUCACUGCAGUUAUGAUAGUAUAUAUGUGUAGCCAUUACACGUAAGUGGCGAAUCCUUUAGAUCCAGUGUUAGCAACCCUUGCUUCACAAUCUGCUUUAGUAUAGGCCUUUGUGAAACAAAGAACUAUAUUCCCAUGUCAAUUCCAAUUCUUGUAAACUGGCGUCCAUUGUUAUGUGUUAUCAUACGGUCCCAAGUAUUUUGUGUUAAAAGGAUAAUACUUUAGUCUUGGCACAAUUAAGACAGAAGAUAUUCAUUGUGGUGAUCAACUUUUAAUAACAACCAAUACUUCUCUCCGUUAAAUACACUUUGUUUGGUAUCAUAGUAGUUAAGACAUAUUCGUAAUCACAUUCAUUAUUAAUUCCUGACAAAUUUUUACAGCUGGCUCUUUGGAAAAUAAGAAAUACAAAAGUCUUUGUCAAGGUCAUUUGAGUGCGUUGAAAACCCGGACGCAUCGCCAUCUACUUCUAUCACCCUUGGUAGAACUGUGUCGAGACUACUGAUAAGUCUGCAGCAUGCUCCUGGAUCCAUCGUUGCCCAGAAUGCAUAAAUGCAAUUUAUAAGUUCGUUUAUAAGCCCAAGCUUUCU